rnacentral:rRNA from 1 species
UACAGAGGGUGCGAGCGUUAAUCGGAAUUACUGGGCGUAAAGCGCACGUAGGUGGCGACGUAAGUCGGGUGUGAAAGCCCCGGGCUCAACCUGGGAAUUGCAUUCGAGACUGCAUUGCUGGAGUACGGAAGAGGAAGGCGGAAUUCCCGGCGUAGCGGUGAAAUGCGUAGAUAUCGGGAGGAACAUCAGUGGCGAAGGCGGCCUUCUGGUCCAGUACUGACACUCAAGUGCGAAAGCGUGGGGAGCAAACAGG